rnacentral:rRNA from 1 species
AUUGAACGCUGGCGGCAGGCCUAACACAUGCAAGUCGAACGAGUGGCGGACGGGUGAGUAAUGUCUGGGAAACUGCCCGAUGGAGGGGGAUAACUACUGGAAACGGUAGCUAAUACCGCAUACCAUCGGAUGUGCCCAGAUGGGCGUAGCUAGUAGGUGGGGUAACGGCUUACCUAGGCGACGAUCCCUAGCUGGUCUGAGAGGAUGACCAGCCAAACUGGAACUGAGACACGGUCCAGAGUCCGACGGGAGGGAGCAGUGGGGAAUAUUGCACAAUGGGCGCAAGCCUGAUGCAGCCAUGCCGCGUGUAUGAAGAAGGCCUUCGGGUUGAAAAGUACUGUCAGCGAGGAGGCGUUACUCGCAGAAGAAGCACCGGCUAACUCCGUGCCAGCAGCCGCGGUAAUUC